UCACACAACACAAUGGCAAAGAUUCAACUCUCAUCCAUAUUUUGCAGCUUUUGUUCCUCUCUCUUGUGGUUUCAAUGACUCUUGCGAUAGUUGAGAAUGGCAUUGUUGCCAGAAAACUCUUGCAAGGAUGUAAAAAUUGUUCUUGAAGGAUAUUCGAAGGAUAGCGAUUGUUGCCAAGGCCAUUGUGCCCUUCAAGGCUUUGACAUUGGAGGCAUUCCUUUUGGAACAUGUGUGAUUCUCUAAUUUAUAUUUACUAAUUAGAGAGUUUCAAAUUGUUGAAACUUUAUUGCCAUUUUCAUUUC